GACGAACGCUGGCGGCGUGCUUAACACAUGCAAGUCGAACGGAAAGGCCCCUUUGGGGGUACUCGAGUGGCGAACGGGUGAGUAACACGUGAGUAACCUGCCCUUGACUUCGGGAUAACUUCAGGAAACUGGGGCUAAUACCGGAUAGGAAUCCUUGCUGCAUGGUGGGGGUUGGAAAGCUUCGGCGGUUUUGGAUGGACUCGCGGCUUAUCAGCUUGUUGGUGGGGUAGUGGCUUACCAAGGCUUUGACGGGUAGCCGGCCUGAGAGGGCGACCGGCCACAUUGGGACUGAGAUACGGCCCAGACUCCUACGGGAGGCAGCAGUGGGGAAGAUUGCACAAGGGGCGGAAGCCUGAUGCAGCAACGCCGCGGGCGGGAUGACGGCCUUCGGGUUGUAAACCGCUUUCAGCAGGGGCGAAGCUUGUGGUGACGGUACCUGCAGAAGAAGCACCGGCUAACUACGUG
rnacentral:rRNA from 1 species